rnacentral:rRNA from 1 species
UACGUAGGGCGCAAGCGUUAUCCGGAAUUAUUGGGCGUAAAGAGCUCGUAGGCGGUUUGUCGCGUCUGCCGUGAAAGUCCGGGGCUCAACUCCGGAUCUGCGGUGGGUACGGGCAGACUAGAGUGAUGUAGGGGGAGACUGGAAUUCCUGGUGUAGCGGUGAAAAUGCGCAGAUAUCAGGAGGAACACCGAUGGCGAAGGCAGGGUCUCUGGGCAUUUAACUGACGCUGAGGAGCGAAAAGCAUGGGGGAGCGAACAGG